GCUUGCUAACUCUCCUACUGGAAGCACGAAACCAGGCCAGAGUAUUCGAAACUGUGAGGAGCUAAUUCCUCUUAAUCGGUAAGAUCAGUAAAUUACCCAAAUAAGAUGGAUUUCGGAAAAAAAGGGGCUUGAUUUCUUGGACUUGAGUGAGAACCAGCUUGAAGGCAUGCACUUAGACUCUGAUCUAGUGAUGUUAAGCUUGAAGGAAAUUGGAAAACUCAAGGCUGCCUCCAAGAGAAGAGGCAAAAUACUUGGUGUGCAAGCAAUCUCUCACGAGAGACUCUUACUUUUGUUUGCAUUUUGCAAGAGGGUCAUCUAAAGUGAAUUUGAUGUCUUUGAAACAAGAUUACUUGGAAUGGAGAAUGUUACAAUGUACCUACAUUUGGACUACGUUUUUAUUUCUUGACGGUGGAAGAGCUGUGCAGGUAAUAUUCUCCUUUGUGUCUUCUACCUCAACCACUUGAAUCAUAUGGUUGAGGCCUAGUUGUAAUCAACAGCUAUUCUAGAGCUUGGAUGUAAAAUCAUAAUAUCCAAAUCUGCAUUUUAGGUGCAGCCAUGUUUUGAACCCUGUGAUUGUUGUAGUGGGUGGCAAGUUUCUUGACAAAACAGUCUUCAAGAUAACCCAUAAAUCUAAAUACCACCAUUCCAAUGAUUAUAUCCACAUUAUUAUGCACUCUAAAUAUUAGUUGACCAUUUGUUUAAUUUGA